rnacentral:misc_RNA from 1 species
CUGCCCUCAAGCCCGGCUUGUGUGUUGGGCCUCCGUCCCCUGGGACGGGGCCCGAAAGGCAGUGGCGGCGUCGUCCGAUCCUCGAGCGUAUGGGGCUUUGUCACCCGCUCUUGCAGGACCGGCCGACAGUCUGCCGACUCUCCAACCUUCUUUUUUCCAGG